GAGGCGGGUGGAUCACGAGGUCAAGAGAUCUAGACCAUCCUGAUCAACAAGGUGAAACACCAUCUCUACUAAAAAUACAAAAUUAGCUGGGCAUGGUGGUGCGCGCCUGUAAUCCCAGCUACUCGGGAGACUGAGGCGGAGGUUGCGGUGAGCCGAGAUCGCACCACUGCACUCCAGCCUGGGUAACAAGAGCGAAACUCCGUCUCAAAAUGAAGAAAAUACAUAUUGAAAGCCGGACGCAGUGGCUCACGCCUGUAAUCCCAGCACUUUGUGAGGCCGAGGCGGGCGGAUCAUGAGGUCAAGAGAUCGAGACCAUCCUGGCCAACACAGUGAAACCCCAUCUCUACUAAAAUUACAAAAAAUUAGCUGGGCGUGGUGGCACGCGCCUGUGGUCCCAGCUACUCAGGAGGCUGAGGUGGAAGAAUCACUUGAACCCAGGAGGCGGAGGUUGCAGUGAGCUGAGAUUAGGACACUGCACUCCAGCCUGGUGACAGAGCAAGACUCCGUUUCAAAAAAAAAAAAAUAUAUAUAUAUAUAUAUAUAUAUAUGUAUUGAAAUAUAUAUUUUCGUGUUGAAUAUACAUGUUUAAAAUAUUUCUCCCUAGUCUGCAUGCUUCUUGCAUUGCUAUGGUGUUUUUAUGCCUUAUAAAGAUGUAUAAUAUUUAUGCAGUAAAAUUUAUUGGUGUUUUUUUCCUUUAUAGUGUCUGGAUUUCCUGCCAUGUUAGAAAGAGCUUCUUCAAUUCUUGAUGUGAAAAAGUUGAGCUUCGAGCAGCACUUCUUUCUUCCCCACCGCCAGUUCUCCGAGCUCACCUUGCAUUUACCCACAGCAGCUUUUCACUUUAUAAUUUACUGUAAAUCAGAAUUUCUCCCUCCCCAGUUUUUUCCCCUGGUACCAGGUAAGUAACCCUGGGUAGCCUUUGAAAGUCCCUGCACUGAAUUGGAAUGGAGAAAACGUUGAUGUUUCAGGGCACAUGUGCGAGUAAAUAUACAGAGAGGUGAAAGAGCUUUUCAAAACAAAGAAUCAAAUAUCAGCAACACUCUUCCUUUGUUUGGAUGUGAUUUAUUAUGGAUUAGCAAUUAAGAUUUCCAAUUCUGGCUGGGCGAGGUCGCUAGCCCCUAUAAUCCCAGCACUUUGGGAGGCUGAGGCAGGCAGAUCACCUGAGGUCAGGAGUUUGAGACCAGCCAGACCAACAUGGUGAAAACCCAUCUCUACUAAAAAUACAAAAUUAGCCAGGCUUCGAGGCACAUGCCUGUAAUCCCAGCUACUCGGGAGGCUGUGGCAGGAGAAUCACUGGAACCCAGGAGGUAGUGGUAGCAGUGAGCCAAGAUCGCGCCAUUGCACUGGGCAACAUGAGCAAAACUCCAUCUCAAAAAAAAAUUUUCCAAUUCAACUCCAGACUCCAUUGAAUUUUA
rnacentral:lncRNA from 13 species